rnacentral:rRNA from 1 species
UACAGAGGUCUCAAGCGUUGUUCGGAUUCAUUGGGCGUAAAGGGCGCGUAGGCGGCGGGGUAAGUCGGGUGUGAAAUCUCAGAGCUCAACUCUGAAACUGCACUCGAUACUGCUCUGCUUGAGGACUGGAGAGGAGACUGGAAUUCACGGUGUAGCAGUGAAAUGCGUAGAUAUCGUGAGGAACACCGGUGGCGAAGGCGGCGACCUGGGUAGAUACUGACGCUGAGGUGCGAAAGCGUGGGGAGCAAACAGG